CGGCUACAUUAAUUUGAAACACCGGUUCCCGUACAAUCAUCGUAGUUAAGCAAUAUCGAGCUUAGGUAAUAACUUUGAUGGGUGACUGAUUGCGAAUGCCACGUGCUGUAGG